rnacentral:miRNA from 1 species
CACAUGGAGUUGCUGUUACA